GAUUAGGGGCUAGAAGGUCAAAGGUAUCUGACUUAUUUGUAAAGGAAACGUCCGAGGAUUGGGAGAAGUAGAUUGGUGAGCGAAAGAUCAUAAGGGUCGGCAAAUGGUUGAAUCCGAGAGGGAUAGAAUUAAAUGCGGGGUAAGCCUAAGGGUAGUAGAGGUUAGUUCUUGUACCUUUUGCAUCAUGGUUCUUUAAGAAAAAGACUUAAUAUGAAGUUAUCCCGAAAUGAAGUGAGCUAUUUUUAGACGAAGGUAACCUAGCGUGGUAAAGCUAGUUUAAGAUCUAAAAAUUGGAGUGAAAUGCUUGACGCACUUUGUGAUAGCUGGUUAUUCAGGAGGGGUAUAUAAGUACUUAGUUGUUAUUAUUAUAAAUUAGGGUUAAUAAAGAUAGGGCGCUUCUUUGAGGCGCCCAGGUUAAGAUCCAGAUUUAUAGACGACGUUUAGGUAAGAGAGGAUUAGCUCUUUUAGUGGUUAAGAAUGGUUUGUGGUUGUUAGUUUGCGAAGUGGGCUUAGAGUUAGUCAUCUUGGUAGAGUUUGUUAAUAAAUAGCAGAGAGAAGAAGUAAGAUCAUAUAAUGAUUGUGGCUGUUCUAAUAGAUGUAUGAGGCAUAAAUGUACUGAUAGUAGUAAUUGUUUCAUAGAGAUAGAUUAUUUAAAUACUGGAGAAAUGAGUAUUUAUUGUUAGAAUAGUUUUGUGAUCUGUUUAACGUAGAAAGGACAGGUUAUGAGGAGUAUUUAGGAAUGUAAUUUAAACCUUAAAAAGGAAUUCGGCAAAAAGUAGCCUCGCCUGUUUAUCAAAAACAUGUCUCUUUGUUGGUGGAAACACGAAGAUAGGGAGUCUGACCUGCCCGGUGAUGUAGGAGUUAAACGGCCGCGGUACCCUGACCGUGCAAAGGUAGCAUAAUCAUUUGCCUCUUAAUUGGGGGCUGGAAUGAAAGGUUUGACGUGGGCUAAGCUGUCUCUUUAGGGUUGUUUAGAAAUUAACUUUUAGGUGAAAAGGCCUAAAUUAAAACUAUGGGACGAGAAGACCCCAUUGAGCUUAAGUGAACUUCUGAAGCGGGGAAAUCAGAUCUGUGAAUUGACUCGUUUUUAGAGAUAUUUUUAGUGGGGGAAAACAAGGGAAUAGUAAAAGCUUCCCUUAAAAAAUUAGGUUAAAGUACUCUGUAGAUUGCAGGGUAUUAGAUUAUUUUGUUUAACGAAUAUGUUAGGUUUAAGGCUUGCAUGUCAGGAUUAAUUAAAUGAUCCGUUGUAUGAAAGAGAGGCGAUUAAGGGAUAGAGUUACCAUGGGGAUAACAGCGUAAUUUCUUCUGGAGAGUUCAAAUUGAAGGAGGGGUUUGCGACCUCGAUGUUGGACUAAGACAUCCUGAAGGUGCAGUAGCUUUCUAAGGGUUGGUCUGUUCGACCAUAAAAGUCUUACAUGAUCUGAGUUCAGACCGGCGUAAGCCAGGUUGGUUUCUAUCUUUAGUUAUAAAGAUCUUCCGGUUAGUACGAAAGGAUUGCCGAUAUGAUGAAGUAAAUAGUUUAUUAAAGUUGAGUGAGGAUAAAGUAGUAAUAAAAGUAAAGGCAAGUAAUUAUAGUAUUGU
rnacentral:rRNA from 1 species